rnacentral:piRNA from 1 species
UGUAAAAAGCCAAGGUGGAGGGAAA